rnacentral:misc_RNA from 1 species
UCCGGUUUGACACCGGCAGUCUCCCUAGAGUGCCCGGCAUAACCCGCUGGUAACUAGGGACGAGGGUUGCGCUCGUUGCGGCACUUAAGCCAACACCUCACGGCACGAGCUGACGACAGCCAUGCAGCACCUGUGCUGGGCCCUUACGGACACGGGCUUUCACCCGCUUUACCCAGCAUGUCAAGCCUAGGUAAGGUUCUUCGCGUUGCAUCGAAUUAAGCCACAUGCUCCGCUGCUUGUGCGGACCCCCGUCAAUUCCUUUGAGUUUCACCCUUGCGGGCGUACUCCCCAGGUGGAUGACUUAACGCUUUCGCUUGGACGCUAACAGUAUAUCGCUAACAUCGAGUCAUCAUCGUUUACAGCGUGGACUAC